CACGUAGGGUGCGAGCGUUGUCCGGAAUUAUUGGGCGUAAAGAGCUCGUAGGCGGUGUGUCGCGUCGGCCGUGAAAACCUGCAGCUUAACUGUGGGCUUGCGGUCGAUACGGGCAUCACUGGAGUUUCGGCAGGGGAGACUGGAAUUCCUGGUGUAGCGGUGAAAUGCGCAGAUAUCAGGAGGAACACCGGUGGCGAAGGCGCCAC
rnacentral:rRNA from 1 species